rnacentral:rRNA from 1 species
AUACGGAGGGGGUUAGCGUUGUUCGGAAUUACUGGGCGUAAAGCGCACGUAGGCGGAUUGGAAAGUUGGGGGUGAAAUCCCAGGGCUCAACCCUGGAACUGCCUCCAAAACUAACAGCCUAGAGUUCGAGAGAGGUGAGUGGAAUUCCAAGUGUAGAGGUGAAAUUCGUAGAUAUUUGGAGGAACACCAGUGGCGAAGGCGGCUCACUGGCUCGAUACUGACGCUGAGGUGCGAAAGCAUGGGGAGCAAACAGGAUUAGAAACCCCAGUAGUCC